rnacentral:lncRNA from 1 species
CCCAGCCGAGGCCCUUGCGUGCCUCUGCCUUCCUCCCCGCGGCCCAACGCCCGCGCGGCCCAGCUCCAACUGCCCUGCCGUGCCUGCCGCGCGCGGGCAGUUGCCCAGCGCCGCCGCCACGAGUGAGACCCGCCUGUUAGCCUAGUGCCACACUAAAAGUCUCCACCUUCUCUCAUCCCCAUUUCCUCCCCACGCCCCGUCGGUUUCUCUCAUGCCAAUUUCUCUUGCCCUGGUUCUCUCUCGCUCGUCGGCGCGCAGUUGGAGUCGCCGAGAGCGCCGUCUGCGCCGAAUGGUACUCGCCGUCAAACUCCGUCGUGGUGAGUCCGCUUUCCCUUCCCACCUCAUCCCUCCCCUCUCUGCCCCCUGCCGAGCAGUUCGUCUCCUCCCGACGAGCCCCUGCACGACUCCCUUUCCCUCCGAUGCGCGGCUCCUGCGCAGGGCGCGGCGCGGCGGACAGCCAGCGCGCCCAGGCGUCUGGCCCCUGCGCGUGGAGUCGUCGUAGACGUGCUGCUCCAUGCCUCCGCUGACCAUGUGCGGCGAGCCCCACCGGCCAUGGACGCUGCUGUCGCGUCAACGUCUAGGCCCGCUAGAGUCCGACUAGAGCCGUCGCUGUCCGGCCAUGGCCACCGGGCCGGUGCCACCCGCCCCGCCUGCUAGCCUCGGCUGGAGCAGCACUUCCCCAUCGCCUUUGUGCAUGCGUGCUCGUCCUAGCCGAUGGAAGGAGGAAGAGAAACCUGUUGCUCAUCAUAGGCUCGUAGCUGAUGGAAUUGAGAAAGAAGAAAUAACCGCUCGUGGGGCCCGCAUGCAUGUCUCCCACACAUUCCUCACGCCAUGCGCACGAUUAGCAUCCUGGAAAGUGGAAACCGCCUGGACCCCAUCGCAUGGCAUGCAUCUUCUUUUUGCAUCCCUCUGUUGCGUUUUUUUUAAAUUCUUUUCCUACGCAUGCUUGGAAACUCCCUCGUGUUAGAUCUACUGCGUCCGCGACUUCGUAAGCCUCUGUGUGGCUUGGCUCUAACCAGUCAUAUUGCGUCACUGCAUUAAAUCUGGACGUUAUUAAAUACGAGUUACCAUAUGUGUUAGACGUCCGAUUUAUUUCGUUGCAGUUUCGUUAGCUUCACAAUAAUGUCAUGUAUAAAAAUAUUAAUUUAUCGUAACACAUGUUUUAUGUAGUUAACUAAUUAUUGGUUUAAUCUUCGAUUAUUAAAAUGGAGAUCUAAUAAAAACUAAGUUAUAGUUUAAAUUUACGCUUUUAUAAAUACAAAUUAAUGUGAUAAAUGUCAACACAGAUGAUUUUGAAUUAAUACUUGUUUAGUAUAAUCACGACAUCUGUUAGUGGUGCUCGUGUGUCGCGCGCGCUGAUUACGAGUUAUUCGCGUGUGUUGCGCUCGUCGUCGUCAUGUUGUUCCCGUGUGUAGCGCGACAUCUGCGCGUGAUAAUAAAUUGUUUUUGCUUAUAAACACUCAUGUUAAUAACGUUAAUUCGUCGGGCCACAUAUUUUAGAUAAUUAACUUAAGAUUUGCUCGAUUAAUAUUUAUUAGAUUAACUUUCUAAUUAGAUUGAAUAUGUAGGGUUCAACUUGCGCUUUUAUAAUAAACGUUAACAUGACUAAUAUUAACUUAACUACUUUUUAUUUAUUUAAUAUUUGUUUAGUACAAAUGCGUCACCUAUUUAGUUGCUUGUCUGUCGUGCGUGCUGUUCCGCACGUGGUGUCGUGCUGGUUCGCGCGUCGUUCACACUAGUCGUGCGCACUGCUUCGUGUGUCGUGAGCGUGCUAUAUCGCUCGUGUCCACACGUCGUUCUGCACUAUGUAGUGCUAUUUUGCGCACCGUGAAUUUGUCUCACUUAGGGUCGCUGAUGUUAUUUAAUUUGCUUAAUUAACUGACAAGCUGUUAGAGUAGCAGACUAAUCGAGAUUAAAUAGUAGUUAUAAUUUAUAUUUGAGAAAUGUCAAAUUAAAUAUUCUAACUAAUACUUGCUUAGUGUAAACACGCUAACCCCUCGACUAUAGCUUCGACUAUCGCGGUUCUUUUCCUCGCAUAAUCGUAGAAGCGCUCUCUAUUUUAUAUUGCUCGCUUUUAUAACAUCUUAUCUUGUAUGAUGUAAUGUUCUUAUGUAUAUGUAUAUGUUUGUUUGCUUGUGCCUGUUCAUCUUCGCUUCGCGUGCGAUUAUAUCGCGAUUCGUUUCUGAGCUUUGAGGAAUCGACGAUCAAGCAUGGCGACAAAGUGAUCGAACUCUUCGAGUUCUACGAGAUCGAAGACCCUGAGCAUCUGUUUGGUGAAGGCAAGUGUCCUUUGACCUAUCUAUGUCCUAUUCAUUCUUUAAUUCACCUCCCGCGUUACACAUUUAUACCUAAGGAUUGACUAGCUUUUGUUAUCCAUGUCCUUGUUUACCUAUUUGGGUCGGAUUAUUACUACUUAGUCUGAUGCUAUUGCUCAACUCUAAUCAAUGAACAUGAUGUGAUUAUCUAUGAUACGCUGUUUUCCCGUUCUUCUUUAUGAUUAUACUUGUGGUUUUCAAGGGGACUCGAGCGGUUUCUCGAGUGCCUCUCCGUAAGGACCUGUUCUAUGGAUGACCGCCCGGGAAAACAGUGCAACCAUGAGGGUGGAAUGGGGUGCCCUUAGCUGAAUAAUUAGAGGAUCCGGGGUGUAGUUCACUUAGCCGUCGUGCCGUCAAUGGGGCUCGGUGUAUGCGGCUCGCUCUGCCAAGUUUGGGUUCGCCCCUUGGGGAGGAGUGCGGUGCAUUUAGGAAACCUAACGGGUGGCUACAGCCCCGGGGAAUCUUUGUAAAGGCUACGUAGUGAAACCCUGCCUAUUCACCUUGGUAGUGUUUAAGGGUUUGAUCGGCCCGAGGCAAGAGGGAAUCACGGCUUGUGGGUAAAGUGCACAACCUCUGCAGAGUGUUAUGAAACUGAUAUAUCAGCCGUGCUCGCGGUUAUGAGCGGCCAAGGGAGCUCCAGUGAUUAGUGGUACUUGAUCAGAGACAUUGUGGUACAGGUGGUUAUGAGAUUGAUGGUUUUGGUUAUGACUAUGGUGCUGGUAAGUGGUAUUCUUUCCGUUUGGAAAGGGUACAUCGGGUUAAUAACUUGGGUAAUGCUAAAACUUGGCUUUCUACUAGUAAAUAAUAAUCUGACCAACUAAAAGCAACUGCUUGACUUAUCCCCACAUAAAGCUAGUCCACUACAGCCAAACAGGAUACUUGCUGAGUAUGUUGAUGUGUACUCACCCUUGCUCUACACACCAAACCCCCCCCCCCAGGUUGUCAGCAUUGCAACCACUGCUCAGGCGAAGAUGAAGCUGUGGAAGGAGACUUCCAGGAGUUCCAAGAUUACGACGAGUUCUAGGUGUGGGUUAGCGGCAACCCCCAGUCGGCUGCCUGUGAAGGCCGCGGUUAUCUACGUUUCUUUUCCGCACUUUGAUUUAUUGUAAGAACUAUAUGGACGUCUCAGACGUAUGAUGUAAUCGACUAUUUCCCUUAUUAAUACUAGUUUGAGC